GCAGUGUAGAGUGAAUUGUGCUGAGAUCUGCAGAGAGCAGCCCAGGGAGAAGCAGUGAAGUUGUAGACUGCAGCUGAAAUGAACUGGCCCACGUGAGCCUGCCCAAGCCCUGGGGCAAGGCCUGUGUCCUAUCGCUGAGAUAUGUUCUGAUUAUAAAAGUAAAAUGGAGAAAUAAUGACGAGGAAGCAAAGAAGACACGGAAGAAAAGAAAACACGCCUGAAACCCUAACAGAGCUUCAGAUGGUUUUUGAUCAUCCUGAGAAGAAUGAGCCUUGGCCUCCAGACCCAGUAAAACAGACAUCCAUGGAGAACAGUGUUCGUUCCUGAGGACCUGGAGGGCUUGCAGCCCAGGAGGAUUAGCUAGAAGCAGGUAAGGAACACCUGGAGGAGUGGGAUGUGGAAGCAGCAUGGGGUCCAUACUCUGUUUAGGAGGCACAGUGGAGUGCGCUGGUAAGAAGCCAUAGGGGCUCAAUGUAUGGCUACAGCUUUGCUGUUUUCUUUGUGUUUUUUAUUUAUUUAUUUUUCAGUCCCUAGUGUUGAUAGGUGAUUUGCCUAUUUCUAUAAACUAUAAGAUUUAAAUUUAUUCUGUAAUUCAAUCUACCUUUUUAAAGCACCUAUUCUGGCCAAACCCUGCAUUUGAUACCCAGCAGGUAGUGAUAUAGUGAUAUAGAUGGGUA
rnacentral:lncRNA from 1 species